GGCUUACCAUGCAAGUCGAGGGGUAACAGAUCUUCGGAUGCUGACGACCGGCGAACGGGUGAGUAACACGUAUGCAACUUACCCAUAACUCGGGAAUAGCCCAAAGAAAUUUGGAUUAAUACCCAAUAAUACAGGCGUACCGCAUGGUAUUCUUCGUUAAAGAAUAAUCGGUUAUGGAUAGGCAUGCGUUCUAUUAGGUAGUUGGUGAGGUAACGGCUCACCAAGCCGACGAUGGAUAGGGGAACUGAGAGGUUGUCCCCCCACACUGGUACUGAGACACGGACCAGACUCCUACGGGAGGCAGCAGUGAGGAAUAUUGGUCAAUGGACGAAAGUCUGAACCAGCCAAGUCGCGUGAAGGAAGAAGGUAUUAUGUAUCGUAAACUUCUUUUGUAAGAGAGUAAAGUGCACUACGUGUAGUGUAUUGCAAGUACCUUACGAAUAAGCAUCGGCUAAUUCCGUGCCAGCAGCCGCGGUAAUACGGAAGAUGCAGGUGUUAUCCGGAUUUAUUGGGUUUAAAGGGUGCGUAGGUGGUCUAAUAAGUCAGUGGUGAAAUCUCUUUGCUUAACAAGGAAAUUGCCAUUGAAACUGUUAGACUUGAGAAUGGACGAGGUAGGCGGAAUUCGUAGUGUAGCGGUGAAAUGCAUAGAUAUUACGAAGAACUCCAAUAGUGUAGACUGCUUACCAGACCAUAUCUGACACUAAGGCACGAAAGUGUGGGUAUCAAACAGGAUUAGAUACCCUGGUAGUCCACACAGUAAACGAUGAAUACUAACUGUUUGCGAUAUACAGCAAGUGGUCGAGCGAAAGCGUUAAGUAUUCCACCUGGGAAGUAUGCCGGCAACGGUGAAACUCAAGGAAUUGACGGGGGUCCGCACAAGCGGAGGAACAUGUGGUUUAAUUCGAUAAUACGCGAGGAACCUUACCCGGGCUCGAACGAUAUUUGAUACAUCCGAAAAGAUGUAGCUAGCAAUAGCAAAUACCGAGGUGCUGCAUGGUUGUCG
rnacentral:rRNA from 1 species